GAUGAACGCUGGCGGCGUGCCUAAUACAUGCAAGUCGAGCGAACAGACGAGGAGCUUGCUCCUCUGACGUUAGCGGCGGACGGGUGAGUAACACGUGGAUAACCUACCUAUAAGACUGGGAUAACUUCGGGAAACCGGAGCUAAUACCGGAUAAUAUAUUGAACCGCAUAGUUCAAUAGUGAAAGACGGUUUUGCUGUCACUUAUAGAUGGAUCCGCGCCGCAUUAGCUAGUUGGUAAGGUAACGGCUUACCAAGGCAACGAUGCGUAGCCGACCUGAGAGGGUGAUCGGCCACACUGGAACUGAGACACGGUCCAGACUCCUACGGGAGGCAGCAGUAGGGAAUCUUCCGCAAUGGGCGAAAGCUUGACGGAGCAACGCCGCGUGAGUGAUGAAGGUCUUCGGAUCGUAAAACUCUGUUAUUAGGGAAGAACAAAUGUGUAAGUAACUAUGCACGUCUUGACGGUACCUAAGCAGAAAGCCACGGCUAACUACGU
rnacentral:rRNA from 1 species